rnacentral:lncRNA from 10 species
CCCCUGGCUCUGUUGGUCAAGCCUGCCACAGCCCGGAAGCCUCUGCAGCCUCCCUGUUGCUGCUGAAAAGGACGCUGGUUGGAGAAGGACCCAAGGAAGCACCGACAGAUUGGGACCGGCUCGGGGCUGACUAGCCGGGAGGCUGAGAGGCUGGUGCCCAGGCUGCCCCUUGACCCUGCUGCACCAGCGCCGCCUCUGCGUUUGGUCCUGUCUCAAAGACCGAGGGGAACACAGGGAGAAUGGAAGGAAGGUUGAAUAAGCCAACCCCGUGCAUGCCCCACAGAAUGUAGAAUUUAAACAGCUGGACGGCUUCAAGACAGUUCUGCCCAUAGCCUGGAUGUGCUUCUUCAUGAUGAAGACGACUUUGGAACUCCAGCCCAGAGACCCCAGGGACGUGGCGGCAACACAUGGGCACCAUGCUUCCAGGGGCGAGGCCUCUCCCACCACUGGCUUACCCACAGCACAGCUCAGCUGGGUCUGCCAGCUGCCACCGAUGGGUGCUCUCCUAUGACCCUGACUCAUGGUGUGUGCGGCAGCACUGGUCCCUUCACGGGGCUGAGUAGACAUGGGGUCCUGCGGGUUCACAGCCACUGUCACUGCUCCCGAAAGGGUCAUCUUGAAUGACAGGCAGUGGUCACAGCCCGGCAUAGAGACCAGGAGAACGACUCUCCCUCUUGACCCAAGUCAGGAGCAUCCGGCCGCCCACAGAGAGGGAGACUGGGCUCCUUUCAGGCUCCAGGAGCCCGUCCUGCUCCUGAAGCUCAUGGUUC